rnacentral:rRNA from 1 species
GUAGGUGGCAAGCGUUGUCCGGAAUUAUUGGGCGUAAAGCGCGCGCAGGUGGUUCUUUAAGUCUGAUGUGAAAGCCCCCGGGCUCAACCGGGGAGGGUCAUUGGAAACUGGGGAACUUGAGUGCAGGAGAGGAAAGUGGAAUUCCACGUGUAGCGGUGAAAUGCGUAGAUAUGUGGAGGAACACCAGUGGCGAAGGCGACUUUCUGGCCUGUAACUGACACUGAGGCGCGAAAGCGUGGGGAGCAAACAGGAUUAGAUACCCUGGUAGUCCACGCCGUAAACGAUGAGUGCUAAGUGUUGGGGGGUUUCCGCCCCUCAGUGCUGCAGCUAACGCAUUAAGCGCUCCGCCUGGGGAGUACGGUCGCAAAGACUG